rnacentral:rRNA from 1 species
UGGCCUGGAAGUGCAGCUGCUUAUCCGGUGAAAGCCGGACUCCUUCGAGGGUGCUGCAGAGGUGCUGCAUGGCUGUCGUCAGCUCGUGUCGUGAGAUGUUGGGUUAAGUCCCGCAACGAGCGCAACCCUUACCGUUAGUUGCCAUCAGAUCCUUUAGAUGCUGGGAACUCUAACGGGACUGCCCGGGUUAACCGGGAGGAAGGUGGGGAUGACGUCAAGUCCUCAUGGCCCUUACGGCCAGGGCUACAAACGUGCUACAAUGGAUGGUACAAAGGGCUGCGAGACCGCGAGGUUCAGCGAAUCCCAAAAAACCAUCCCCAGUUCGGAUUGCAGUCUGCAACUCGACUGCAUGAAGU